CUAGAAUCAAACCCAAAAUCAAGGAUUUGGGUGGAUUUUGAUGGAAGUGAUUGUGAGGAUUUCCUUAAAUAAUAAACUCAUAUAUUUUCUAUAUGUUGGAUGAUAAUACUAGGAAAAAUAUAUUGAGGAAAACAAUUAAUCUCCCAUCUCGCUCGCCGGAUCUUAAAAACUUUCCCCCUUUCUUAUCCUUCUUCUUCUCUCCUUCAUAUAUCCUGCAUUGAAGGCAUAUAGCAUUCAAGAGCCUCACGCCCUUCACAUGGCACAUGGAAUGCAAGUGCUUGUGCCCCUAGUAUCCCUGAUAGUGGAAUAUAAACAUAUAUUUGGUAUGAUAAUCUCCAACAUGCCUUGUAGUUUAUAACAUGCGACCGACUCUGCGGUUGACAUGUCUCUUUGACUGCCUCCCAUCCAAAUUCAGACAAGUUCGCAACACCACACAAACCCAACCUCUGAGCUCUCUGUCUUCUCUCUUAGAUUUCUGUGGCAAGAUAGAAUUCCUUCAGCAAAUUCAUGCCAGAUUUAUCCUUUAUGGACUACAUCAAAACCCACACCUCACUUCCAAACUGAUUGACAACUAUGCUAAUAUUGGCCGUCUCGAUCUCUCCCAACUAGUCUUCAGUUCUAUAAAAGAACCCAAUUCUCUUCUCUAUAGCACGAUCCUCACAAAUCUUUGUGAGCUUGGGAAAUAUGAGAAAACCCUUAUUCUUUACAAGGAAAUGAUUAUGAACUCCAUGUACCCUGAUGAACGAACUUACCCUUUUGUUGUGAAAUCUUGUUUCCAUCUGUCAGAUAUUGAAUAUGGGAGGAAAGUCCAUGGUCAUGUGGUUAAAUUAGGGUUUAAUUCAGAUGUUCCUGUUAGUAUUGCUUUGGUAGAUCUGUACAAGAAGUGUGGUGAAACUGGGGAUGCACAGGAAUUCGAUAGAAUCUCUGUCAAGGAUUUGAGUUACUGGAAUUCUUUGAUUUAUGGCUCUUUUCAAAAUGGAAAUCCUGAAAACUGUUUUCUCCUUUUUGAGAGAAUGCGACUUGAAGGACUUGAACCUGAUUCAGUUACUGUAGUUAAUCUUUUGAGAUCUAGUGUUGAUUUGAACUCUUUGGAAGCGGGAAGAUUUGUUCAUGCUUUGGUUGUUUUGAGCAAUUUGGGAGGAGAUUUAACUGUGAAUACUGCACUUUUAACAAUGUAUUCCAAAUUAGGAAGUAUGGAAACUGCAAGAUUAUUGUUUGAGAAAAUGCCUGAAAAGGAUUGUGUUGUAUGGAACUUAAUGAUCUCGGCUUAUUCUCGAAAUGGGUGUCCAGUGAAAGCUCUGAAACUGCUUAUUCAGAUGGGAACACUAGGCAUCAGAGCUGAUUUGUUCACUGCUAUUGCUGCUAUUUCAUCUAUUGCAGACUUUAAGUCCCUUCAGUGGGGUAAGCAGAUCCAUGCUCAUGUGAUUAGGAAUGGUUUGGAUUAUCAAGUAUCUGUGCAUAAUUCUUUGAUUGAGAUGUAUGGUAAAUGUGAGAAUGUGGAAUCUGCAAGGAAGAUCUUUGAUUUGUUGUUGAACAAGUCUGUUAUUUCCUGGAGUUCAAUGAUCAAAGGAUAUGUCAACCAUGGUCAGUAUGUUGAUGCUUUGUCUUUCUUCAUCAAAAUGAGAAUCGAAGGAAUCAAUGUGGAUUCAAUUACAGUAAUUAAUAUCUUACCUGCAUGUGUAAAUGCAGGAGCAUUAGAAACUCUACAGUACCUUCAUGGGUACUCCAUAAAACAUGGUUUAAACUUGGUGGUCUCUGUGGUUACAGCAUUUCUCAUCAACUACGCAAAAUGUGGGUGUAUAGAGAUGGCACAAAAGCUUUUCAGUGAAGAAAAAAUUGACUCCAAGGAUAUAGUAUCAUGGAACUCUAUGAUCAGUGCAUAUUCUAAGCAUGGGAAUUGGUCUCAAUGUUUUGAACUGUAUAGGCAGCUAAAAGAUAUGAAACUAAGGCCAGACCGAGUAACUUUUCUUGGGCUGUUAACUGCCUGUGUUAAUUCAGGCUUUGUGAAAGAGGGUUGGGAAUGUUUCAAAGAGAUGACGGAGACCUAUGGGUGUCAGCCCAAUCAAGAACAUUAUGGUUGUAUGGUGGAUCUUCUUGGGCGUGCAGGGCAUAUCAAAGAAGCUUUAGAGCUUAUAAGAACAAUGCCAAUCGAUCCAGAUGCACGGGUCUGGGGCCCAUUGCUGAGUGCCUGUAAGAUGCACUCUGAGACUAGAGUGGCAGAGUUUGCUGCCAAAAAGCUAAUAGCUAUGGAGCCUAAAAAUGCUGGGAACUAUAUUUUGCUCUCUAACAUAUAUGCUGCGGCAGGAAAAUGGGAGGGGGUUGCUAAGAUGAGGGCUGUGCUUAGAGAUAGAGGUUUGAAGAAGACUCCUGGAUGUAGCUGGCUGGAGAUAAAUGGAAGCGUACAUGAAUUUCGUGUUGCAGAUCAGUCCCAUCUAAAGUCACUGGAUAUAUACAACAUAUUAAGAAAUUUAGAACUGGAGAUCAAAUUUGAUAUAGAUAAGAAUUUGGACUUUGAAUCAUGCGCCUUACACAAAGUGUGAACUCCAUAUCUUGGUUGAAAUCAAGACUUUUUUUCACAGUUCUAUUUUGCAUGCGCACCGAGGAACACAUUGAAUAAUUUGUUGAUCUGUAUCGGCAGGGGCUAUUUAGAGACCAUCAUGGAUAGUUUCUGUUUGGAUUUGCAGAAUAUGUUGGAUACACCUUUGCUUAUGUUGCUGAAGCAUUAGCAGUUAGACUUGUCCUCCAAAUCGCUAUAUCCAAGGGAUUUCAUGAGCUUAUCAUUGAGAGCGAUUCUUUGGUGAUGAAUAUUGUGAAGGAACAUCAGUUGCCAAGAAAUUGAUGUUUCAUGAUCUGGAACCAUCCCCCUCCCUUUUUUUCAAUCAUGUUUUGUACAUGGAGGAUUGUGAUAUCUCCUAACCUCGGCAAAUAUUCUAUUCUUGUGGCUAUUAAGCUACCAUAGCAAGGUCGGAAUACAUCAACUCAGCCUUAUUCUAUUCUUGUGGCUAGCAUGCUACUAAAGCAAGGUCUGGACACUACCUUCAAAAAAAUGGGUUGAACUAUCCCCAGCACCACCAAUGUUAUGUUAAUUUGUUCAACCAUUUAUGAUAAAAACUCUAAAUUAUUUGGUUGGGCUAA